UGCCAGCAGCCGCGGUAAUACGGAGGGUGCAAGCGUUGUCCGGAUUUAUUGGGUUUAAAGGGUACGUAGGUGGCCUUAUAAGUCAGUGGUGAAAUGCUGCAGCUUAACUGUAGCACUGCCAUUGAUACUGUAAGGCUUGAGUGUCGUUGAGGCAGGCGGAAUUUAUGGUGUAGCGGUGAAAUGCAUAGAUACCAUAAAGAACACCGAUAGCGAAGGCAGCUUGCUAAGCGACAACUGACACUAAUGUACGAAAGCGUGGGUAGCGAACAGGAUUAGAUA
rnacentral:rRNA from 1 species